UUUCUCGCUUCGGCAGCACAUAUACUAAAAUUGGAACGAUACAGAGAAGAUUAGCCUGGCCCCUGCGCAAGGAUGACGAGCAAAUUCGUGAAGCUUUUUCUCUCUCU
rnacentral:snRNA from 1 species